CGCUAGCGUGAGGGACGUUUUGGACACGAUGAGCGGCCAACAGGAACUGCUUGCACAAACAAUGUUAGAGAGAAUCCACACACGGCUCCAGCAUAUUGUCAGUCAGCAACACUUGACCUGGAUUACCUUGAAUUUGUGUGUUUUCAGGAGGCUGUUCUUUUUAGUGCUGCCUCUAACCAGGUUCUCAUCCCAAAAGGCAUUUUAGAUGCACUCACAGAGCUGCACAAGUUGGUUAAGAAAGAGAAAACCAGGUCCCCAUAGUAAAAAAAAAAAGAGAAAGAUGUUGUAUUUUUUUUGGUUGUUCCAACCCCACAGAUGUUUUAAGAUUGUAUUCACACUACAAUAAAAAAUAAUACAAUCUACAUGUGUUUGGUUUGAACAUUCAUUACGGCAUUAAGAGAGCUGAAAGUCUUAAAGUCCGCUGCUAGCACUGCUUGAGGAAAGCUAUGCUUCCUGCUGCCGCUGGCAGUCCUAACACGGGGCAUGUCUGCUGGUCUGAUUUGAUUAAACAGAGAAAAAUCAAACAUUAGACCACCUCACUGAUUCAGAAAUAUUUAUUUGUGUAACUGUAACAUCUUACAAACCAGUUAUUAGCAGGGGUACUGUUCUGUAAAUAAGUGUUCUUUUUGUAUUUGUGCUACAAUUGCAUUGAAUCAGGUCCUUUGCUGAGUACGUUUUACUGUAAGCCUAGUAAGUGAUGGACAUACUGUCAGUACAUGUCUGAGCCAUGUGAUUGGGAGUGUCCCAGGGGAUUUAUUGCUGCCCUUAGUGCUGCCAUUUGUUCUCAGGAACAGUGACACAUCAGGCAGGCCACUGUCCUCCCAGUCCAAAUGUAGUAGGUACAAUCCCUGAAAAGACAUGUAAAGUGUUUAUGUAGGGAAGUGGUUCUCAAACAUUUUUACAUCAAGGACCCAGACCACAUUUGAUAACAUUUUGUAACAGACUCCAGAAAUACACAAUAUUAAUUCUGAGACUGAAUAACAUUACUUUCUUUGUCAAUGUAUGUUCAAAUUAAUGUCAAUGGGAUGC